UACUGGACUCUUUGGAGCACGGUGCAAC
rnacentral:sRNA from 1 species